UACGAAGGGGGCUAGCGUUGCUCGGAAUGACUGGGCGUAAAGGGCGCGUAGGCGGAUGGCACAGUCAGAUGUGAAAUUCCUGGGCUUAACCUGGGGGCUGCAUUUGAUACGUGUGAUCUAGAGUGAGGAAGAGGGUUGUGGAAUUCCCAGUGUAGAGGUGAAAUUCGUAGAUAUUGGGAAGAACACCGGUGGCGAAGGCGGCGACCUGGUCCUUAACUGACGCUGAGGCGCGAAAGCUAGGGGAGCAAACAGG
rnacentral:rRNA from 1 species